GACGGGGACCCGCACAAGCAGCGGAGCGUGUGGUUUAAUUCGUUGCUACACGAAGAACCUUACCUGGGUUUGACAUAUAGGUUGUAGGGAACUGAAAAGGGACCGACCCUUCGGGGAGCCUAUACAGGUGUUGCAUGGGCUGUCGUCAGCUCGUGUCGUGAGAUGUUCGGUUAAGUCCGCUAACGAGCGCAACCCUCGUCGUAUGUUAUAUGUGUCAUACGAGACUGCCGGUAAAAAGCCGGAGGAAGGUGAGGAUGAUGUCAAGUCAGCAUGACCUUUAUAUCCAGGGCUACACACACGCUACAAUGGUCUGUACAAUGGGUAGCCAAGCCGCGAGGCGGAGCCAAUCCUGAAAGCAGGCCUCAGUUCAGAUUGCAGUCUGCAACUCGACUGCAUGAAGCCGGAGUUGCUAGUAACCGCAGGUCAGCAAUACUGCGGUGAAUACGUUCCCGGGUCUU
rnacentral:rRNA from 1 species